rnacentral:rRNA from 1 species
AUUGAACGCUGGCGGCAGGCCUAACACAUGCAAGUUGAGCGAGCAGCGGAAGGGUGAGUAAUGUAUGGGGACUGCCCGAUAGAGGGGGAUAACUACUGGAAACGGUAGCUAAUAACGCAUACUUUCGCAUAACCCAUAUGGGAUGAGCUUUUAGGUGAGGUAAUGGCUCACCUAGGCGACGAUCCCUAGCUGGUCUGAGAGGAUGAUCAGCCACACUGGGACUGAGACACGGCCCAGACUCCUACGGAGACGGCAGUGAAGAAUAUUGCACAAUGGGCGCAAGCCUGAUACAGCCAUGCCGCAUGUAUGAAGCAGGCCCUAGGGUUGUAAAGUACUUUCAGUCGGGAGGCGUUACCGACAGAAGAAGCACCGGCUAACUCCGUGCCAGCAGCCGCGGUAAUUC